UACGUAGGGGGCAAGCGUUGUCCGGAUUUAUUGGGCGUAAAGAGCGUGUAGGCGGCCAAGCAGGUCCGCUGUGAAAACUCGAGGCUCAACCUCGAGACGUCGGUGGAAACCGUUUGGCUAGAGUCCGGAAGAGGAGAGUGGAAUUCCCGGUGUAGCGGUGAAAUGCGCAGAUAUCGGGAAGAACACCCGUGGCGAAGGCGGCUCUCUGGGACGGUACUGACGCUGAGACGCGAAAGCGUGGGGAGAGAACAGG
rnacentral:rRNA from 1 species